rnacentral:rRNA from 1 species
GACAGAGGCCACAAGCGUUAGGCGGAAUCACUGGGCUUAAAGCGUGUGUAGGCGGAUCGUUAAGUGCCUUGUGAAAUCCCCCGGCUCAACCGGGGAACUGCUGGGCAGACUGGCGAUCUUGAGCUAUUCAGGGGCGACUGGAACAAGCGGUGGAGCGGUGAAAUGCGUAGAUAUCGCUUGGAACGCCUGCGGUGAAAACGGGUCGCUGGGGAUAUGCUGACGCUGAGACACGAAAGCCAGGGGAGCAAACGGG